CUGCGGUCCACAACCUCCCAACUUUUUCAGAUGCUUCUCUUUCUCUCUCUCUCUUUCUCUCUCUCCCUCUCUCUCUUGCAAGGAGCUGCUCUCCUCUCUCCUUUCUUCUAUUAAACUUUCAACUCCUUAACCCAACCACAUGUGUCUGUGUCCUGAAUUCUUUCUCAGCGUGCAACAAUGAACCCCAGGGCCAGCAGACUGAGGUGGGGAAAUUGGCAUCUGUAGAGGAUCUUUGCUGUUGCAGCCAGGCCUUCCCUUUCUAAGCUUUUCCUGGAUGUAGGAGAGAGAAACGGAGACUCUGACACCUUUACAGGUCUGAAAAGAAACAUUUACCAUGGUCGUCUCUGAGCGCUGCUACCUGGGAACCUUCAUCUGCAUAACAAGGACCCCCUUGCUAAGCAGGCCUCUUCCUGUCUCCCUCUCAUCACCUGGCUUGCCACCCGUUAAACCUGCUUUACCAACGUCACCUAUUUGGGGCCAUGCUCUGAGCCCACAUUCUUCCUGCAAAGAACAACAAAUAGCAAACUCAAAUAGUAAAGACAUGGAAUCAGCCUAGGUUCCCAUCAAUGGUAGACUGGAUAAGGGAAAUGUGGCCCAUAUACAAUGUGGCCCAUAUACACAGCCAUAAAAAAGAACAAGAUCAUGUCCUUUGCAGCAACAUGGAUCGAGCUGGUGGCCAUUCUCCUGAGCAAACUAAUGCAGGAACAGAAAACCAAAUACCAUGUGUUCUCAUUUACAAGUGGGAGCUAAACACGGAGUACGCAUUGUGAAAGGAAAUUAAAUUUUGUGAUCCUGAACUCAUUUAGUCAAAGGGAAAAGUCAAGCUGGGAACUGGGUCACACAAACCUGCCUCCCCCUUUUGGUUCCUAAAUAAAAUGGCUACAAGAUGAAAAGCUACACGUCUCCCCCAUAUUUUGCCCACAAGGAAAAUCCUAGUGAGCUGUGAAGAUUUCACCAUGACAAUAUGCAAAUCGACAGCUUUGCAGUCACCCCCGCCCAGCAGACACAAAUCAUAUGUGAUUGCUCCCCUGCCCCAUUUUGUCCAGAUUAUCUUAUGCAACAUGCAGAUUCCCUGCAUUUUCCCUCUGCCCCAUUUGUCUAUGCCAUCUUAUGUAAAAAAACACAGAUUCACUGAGCCAGACAAAAGCAUGAAUAACUCUUUUUCCCUACCCCCACCCUUUCCCCUUUAAAUUUGCAGCCUUCAAAAUCAUCUUCGGAGAAGGCCACAGACCUGUCUCCUGGGGCGCGCCCUUAACCUUAACUUUGGCAAAUAAAUCUUUUACGCUCGUCUCGUCAUUUUUCUCGAUUGACAACAUGGACACAAAGAAGGGAACACCAGACACCAGGGCCUACUUGAGGGCAGAGGGUGGGAGUAGAGUGAGGAUGGAAAAACUACCUAUCAGGUACUAUGCUUAUUGCCUGGGUGAUGACAUAAUGUGUACACCAAACCCCGGUGACAAACAAUUUACCUAUGUAACAACCCUACACAAGGACCCCUG
rnacentral:lncRNA from 10 species